rnacentral:rRNA from 1 species
AGCCAUGCACGUCUAAGUACAAACUAAAUGAUGGUGAAACUGCAAAUGGCUCAUUACAACGGUUAUGAUGUACCCGGGAGUUCCGAUGGAUAUUUCCAGUAACACUAGAACUAAUACAUGCUCCUGCGUUUAUUAGUUUCGCACAGUCCGUCGCUGAGUCAUGGUAAACAGUUGAUCGACUCGACGUCCCGGAACAGUUUCCGCCCCAUCAGCUUCGAUGGUUGGGUAUUGGCCUACCAUUGCAACAACGGGUAACGAGGAAUUAGGGUUUGAUUUCGGAGAGGGAGCCUGAGAAACGGCUACCACAUCUACGAUGNGCAGCAGGCGCGCAAAUUACCCAAUGCAGACUCUGUGAGGUAGUGACGAGAAAUAAUAAAGCGGGACUUCUGUUUCGCUAUUAUAAUGAGGAAUAACCAAAGGUCAUUCCGAUUAGCAACUGAUGGGAAAGUCUGGUGCCAGCAGCCGCGGUAAUACCAGCGUCAGUAGCAUAUAUUAAAAUUGUUGCAGUUAAAACGUCCGUAGUCUGUACGUCGUCCCAAACUCACUGCAGUCUUCCGUUUUCUUCAUUGAAUGCGGUAGUUUCUGCAGUCACUCCCUUGAUCAAAUUAGGUUGUUCAAGGUAGACCAAGUCUUCAUAUUUUCACAUGGAAUUGGGUGAGGGAACUUAAGAGUUUAAGUUUCUCGUCUUAAGAUCAUCCGGGGUCAUUCGUACUCGUCCGCGAGAGGUGAAAUUCUUGGACCGGACGAAGACGACCAGCAGCGAAAGCAUCUGUCAGGGAUGUUUUCUGCGACCAAGGACGAAGGUCAGGUAUCGAAGACGAUUAGAUACCGUCGUAAUCCUGACUGUAAACUAUGCCAACUUGGGUCUUGCUGGGCGAUGCUUUGUGAGACCCACACAGAA